ACUGCCCCUAGAGGCAUUGCUGGUGGAGCUUUUGUGUCACAUGUGUGUCAACAGGUGGCAGAGAGAAGUUUUGUCUACUAUGCUCAGUGUUGUGACCUAUGAACAUCAGAAUGAUUAGUAUCUAGCAUU